rnacentral:snRNA from 1 species
GUCCCGGCUUUGGCAGCACAUAUGCUAAAAUCGGAACGAUGUAGAGAAGACGAGCAGGGCCCCUGCGCAAGGACGGCACGCAAAUUCGUGAAGCGUCCGUAGUUUUA